rnacentral:lncRNA from 12 species
AUGAGAUCCAAGAUUCCUGCUGAGAAGUUAGAAGCCUGGCAGGAGCCCCAGAGUCUCAGAGCAGACCCUCUAGUGCUACCUUGCUGCAGAAGAGUUGCUGGGUUUCCAGAACAAGCAGGGCGAGGGAGUGAGGGCAACAGAGGACAGGAGCGGAGCCUCACCAUCUUGGUUGGCACAGUGCUAGGAAUGUGGUCGAAUGGUUCUAGAAUGACUCAGACGUGUACAGAGCCUCAGCCCAGCAGUUGGACCCAGUGCCAUGCACUUGACUUUGGUGUCAGCAGCUGGGGCUCGCACGUCAAUUCGUUGUCCACACUUGCAUUGGAUAUAGAUCUUUUGCAUCCUAUCUACUUUCAGGGUUGUCAUUGCUCAUGGGUUCAGAACUUAAAUGAUGUCCUGGCCCGAAGAAUCUCUUCUUUCCAGGUCCAACCAGACAUCCAUGGGGUGGGGUGUCCAGAAUGGAGUUUAAGAGAGCUCCUGUCUGUACCUUAGAGCAUUGCUGUGUGUGUGACCUUAUGUAUUAAAACACUGAACUCGAGUUCAGGCGACAGCUGGACUAUGCAGCGGCCCAGGCGCUCGGCAUGGCUCACCUGGUGCUGGAAAUUUACCGUCGUGCUAUUCAAAAAAGCUCCAUUUGGAAUCUUCCAGAUACUAUCUACAAAACAUGUAAAUGUGACUGUGAUGAUGCACAUGCACUGCCUUAGAACACAGGGCAGUUUCACAGUUUAUUGCAUCAAUAGAUAAAAAGAAAUACGAUCAUCUUCGUAGAUGCUAAAAAGGAAGUAACAGGUCUGAUGAGCUGCAUCUUCUUCCGAGCAGCAAACGGUCUUUAGUCCUCCAGUGAUGAUGUGAUUGAACUAACACCAUCAAAUUUCAACCGGAAAGUUACUAGUAGAACUCUAGGCUCCGUGGUGGCCACUGCCAGAGGUUGACACCAGAAUGGAAGUAGCAACGGCAUUAAAAGAUGUUGUCAAAGUCGGUGCAGUGGAGGCAGAUAAACGCCAGUCUCUGGGAGGUCAAUAUGGCAUUCAGGGAUUUCCUGCCAUUAAGAUUUUUGGAUCCAACGAAAACAGACCAGAAGAUUAUCAGGGGAGCAGACCUGGAGAAGCCGCCGCGGAAGCCGCUCUUGGGCUCUGCGCCAGCUGGUGAGGGACCUCCUUGGGGCCGGGGGGGGGGGGUACAGCUCUGGAAAACCAGGUAGGAGUGAAAGUUCUAAUACGAAGGACGUGAUUGAGCUGCAGUAAGAACGUCCUCGAUAAUGCCGAUGUUUGGAUGGUUGAAUUCUACGCUCCUCGGCGUGGACACUGCAGAAGCCUCGGCCCGAAUGGGCUGCUGCAGCCACAGAGGUGAAGAGCAGAUGGGGGGGGGGGGGUCGCCGCUGCGGAGGCCACGGGGGUAACCAGCCUCCAGCCAGCGGAUGCGGGCUCAGGGCAUUCCCUACAAUCGAGGUAUUUCAGAAGGGACAGUCUCCCGUGGACUAUGAUGGGGGACCCACACGAUCCGACCUCGCGUCCCGGGCCCCGGAUUCGUUGUCUGAGACCACGAGAUGCGCUGCCUGAGAUGUCAACGAGGACAUCGCUGAGACCCGCGAGGAGCAUCAGGGUGUCGGCCGUGCGGCCCCACAUUCUGGACACCCGAGCUGCUGGCAGAAAUUCUUACUUAGAAGUUCUUUUGAAGCUGGCAGGCAAAUACAAAAAGAAAAUGUGGGGGUGGCUGUGGGCAGAAGCUGGAGCCCAGGAGGAACUUGAAAAUGCACUGGGGAUCGGAGGGCUUGGAUACCCUGCCACGGAGUCAUUGACGCCCGCAAGAUGAAAGUUGCUCUUCUAAAAGGAUCUUUCAGCGAGCAAGGCACUAAGGAGUUUCUCUUUGGGGCGUGGAUCGACAGCUCCCGGCGGAGGUGGGGCUUUCCCCGCCAUCAGCACCCGAGAGCCUUGGGACCGCAAGGACCGCGAGCUUCCCGUGGAAGACGACACUGACCUCAGGGACGUGGAGCUGGACAAUCUGGAAAGACGUGAGCUGUGAGAGGCUUGGCACAGACUUCAGUUUUCUUUUCUUGGGAGCGGAUCUCCCCAGCGAUGAAGGAACAUUCUCCACACUCAGAUAAGUCUACCAGUGGCCUUUUGAACCAAGAAGCAGCAUUUGAUUGGUCCUGUGAAAACACUGCAACAGUGAACUUUGCAGCUCAAGAAAACAAUGAAAAAUUCUAUGAAUUGUUGUAGCCAGCGAAUUGGGUUGUAUUCUAUCAAGUAAUAUUUUGAGGAAAACUCGUGGGCUGUUGACAUACUUUUCCCUCCCUCUGACUGCUGCUUGAAUGUUCUUGGAGGGUGUUUCUUAUAUUAUCAAGUUUUUUAGUGUGAUUCUUUCAUUUGAAUAUUAAUGCCUUUUUUUCCAUUAAAAAAUAAAAUAAUAUUUUGGAUAAUGCA